ACUCAAAGGAAGCAACUUUAUUUUUAUUCUUUCUCUCACAGAAAGCUCAUCAGAAAUUAUCUCCCCUUUGUUUCGUUGAUGUGUUUUCUCUUCUAAUCUCCGGUGAAGGGAGACAACAAAAUCAAAGAUAUAGAACAAAGGAUUUAUAAGACAUAGCAGAGGUAAGAGAUACAAAUCUUUUCUUCAUCUAUGGCUGCUAUGACCGAGAAGGAAGCUAUGGUAGAUCCUUUUUUGGUCGAGGCUCUUCAGAAUCCUCGCCAUCGUCUCACCAGUUUGAUGUCAGCAAGAUCGGUCGAUGCAAGCUGUGCUGCCAUAUUCUUUGAAGGAACAGGAAGAGAAGAGUUCUCGCUUUAAAAGAUCUCAAACAUAAGUUUGCGAGCAUAAGAAAAGCCUUUAUCUCCUAAGCCCAUUAAGAUGACACUCGCAAUUAUUAUUGAUCCAAAUCCCCACGUUUCAGGAUCCGCGUGUUUUACCAAAUCUCUAUGGAUCUAGAUCCGGCCCGAAAUCCAAGAUCCGCGUUGAAGUGAGCAUCAAAUUGGCCAUUUUAC